GGUUGAUCCUGCCAGUAGUCAUAUGCUUGUCUCAAAGAUUAAGCCAUGCAAGUCUAAGUACGACUCUCGUAAAGUGAAUCUGCGAAUGGCUCAUUACAUCGGUCAUAAUUUACUGGACGAGUUAUUGCUACUUGGAUAACUGUACCAAUUGUAGAGCUAAUACAUGCGACGAACUGUUUCUUCGGAAACGGUGCUUUUAUUAGAUCGAACGCCGAUGGCACCUGUGCCUCAGUUGGCGAAUCGCGAUAACUCUAGCACAUCGCACGGUUUUACACCGGCGAGGCGUCCUUCGAGUGACUGCCUUAUCAGCUGUCGAUGGUAGUGUAUUGGACUACCAUGGCGUUGACGGGUAACGGGGAAUCGGGGUUCGAUUCCGGAGAGGGAGCCUGAGAAACGGCUACCACAUCCAAGGAAGGCAGCAGGCACGCAAAUUACCCAUUCCCGAUUCGGGGAGGUAGUGACGAAAAAUAACGAUACGCGGUACUCAUUGGAGAACCCGUAAUUGGAAUGAGUACAAUUUAAAUCCUUUAACGAGGAUCUAUUGGAGGGCAAGUCUGGUGCCAGCAGCCGCGGUAAUUCCAGCUCCAAUAGCGUAUAUUAAAGUUGUUGCAGUUAAAAAGCUCGUAGUUGGAUCUUGGAUGCGGGCAUCGCGGUCCGAGCGGUGUCUCUGUACUGCGAUCGCCCCGUUCGUACUGUCGGAAGCUCGGCCGUGUCCUUGACUGGGUGCGGUUCGGGUGCCGAAGCGUUUACUUUGAAAAAAUUAGAGUGUUCAAAGCAGACACGUUCGUCCGCAUAAUUUUGCAUGGAAUAAUGGAAUANGAGUUGGACUUAUUUUUGUUGGUGUUACGAGUCUAACUAAUGAUUAACAGGGAUAGACGGGGGCAUCGGUACCUCGUAGGGAGAGGUGAAAUUCUUUGAUCUACGGGAGACCAACUACUGCGAAAGCAUUUGCCAAGAAUGUUUUCAUUAAUCAGGAACGAAAGUCGGAGGUUCGAAGGCGAUCAGAUACCGCCCUAGUUCCGACCAUAAACGAUGUCAACUAGCGAUCUGCCGGCGUUAAUUAUAAGACUCGGCAGGAAGCUUCCGGGAAACCAAAGUNNNNNNNAUUCCGGGGAUAGUAUGGUUGCAAUAUNGAAAUUUAAAGGAAUUGACGGAAGGGCACCACCAGGAGUGGAGCCUGCGGCUUAAUUUGACUCAACACGGGAAACCUCACCAGGCCCAGACACGGGAAGGAUUGACAGAUUGAGAGCUCUUUCUUGAUUUCGUGGGUGGUGGUGCAUGGCCGUUCUUAGUUGGUGGAGCGAUUUGUCUGGUUAAUUCCGAUAACGAACGAGACUCAGUCCUACUAUUUAGA
rnacentral:rRNA from 1 species